GAUGAAGAACGCAGCGAAAUGCGAUAAGUAAUGUGAAUUGCAGAAUUCAGUGAAUCAUCGAAUCUUUGAACGCACAUUGCGCCCCUUGGUAUUCCGAGGGGCAUGCCUGUUCGAGCGUCAUUAUCACCCCUCAAGCUUUGCUUGGUGUUGGGGCCUGCUGUAAUAGGCAGCCCUUAAAAUCAGUGGCGGUGCUUCAAGGCUCUAAGCGUAGUAAUUCUCCUCGCUAUAGUGUCUAGUGGUUGCCAGCCAGAACCCCCCAAUUUUCAUGAUUGACCUCGGAUCAGGUAGGGAUACCCGCUGAACUUAAGCAUAUCAAUAAGCGGAGGA
rnacentral:misc_RNA from 1 species